AGACGUCGUAACUAAACUCGCUUUGUAAACGAAACUGAUCUCUUGCCGUGUUUAGGUGAAUCAGUUCACAGUUCUCUCUACUCCUUGUUAUUAGCGUAGGAACCCUUUUGGAUUCUGCAAACGAACAUAGGAAGAAAUGUAUCCAUCGCCAUUUUGUGGUAAUAGAGGCUCUACGGAGGGACCCUCACCAUUUUCAUGGAUGGCACGAUUCCAGCUGGGAGAGUUAAAGGAGAAUAAUAUAAAACUAUAUUACGUACAAUUGAGGUUUGACCCCAUCAGGUAAGGUGACCGUGUUCCCUCUCCGUACGUGCUCCACAACUUCAUUAUUACUCAUCCCCUGAAAAGUUGGUUUUGUGAAAAUAAACUGUAUAUGUAUGAGGCUAUUAGUAUAAUAUUACACAAUUUUCAGUGUCACUGAAAUCCAUUUUGACUGUUAAUCAUACUGAUGUACACAACAAUAUAUAAACCAAAAUUACCCAAUAAAAAAAUAGACCAAAAUUACCUGAUAAAAAAAUAGGACUAUCAGAAAUGGUAAGAUGCAUAUUUUCUACUUGAAUUUCAUAUUACAAUUAUGGGAGUGUAAUCCAUUACUUUUUUUCUCCUCCACUGCAAUAAGAGCAGACAUACACAAGAAAAUUAAUUUACCUUUGAACUUAAGUGCUGCAUCACACCAUUUGAAGUCUGGGCUAAUUAACUCCUAGUUAAUCAUCACAAUUCUUAGUGCUGUAAUUCAUAUGGUACAUUUUUGUGUCUGUACCAUAUUUUUCUAAAUAAAAUUUAGUUAAUUA